rnacentral:rRNA from 1 species
CGCCAGACUCCUACGGGAGGCAGCAGUGGGGGAUAUUGCACAAUGGGGGGAACCCUGAUGCAGCGACGCCGCGUGGGUGAAGAAGCGCCUCGGCGCGUAAAGCCCUGUCAGCAGGGAAGAAAAUGACGGUACCUGAAGAAGAAGCCCCGGCUAACUACGUGCCAGCAGCCGCGGUAAUACGUAGGGGGCAAGCGUUAUCCGGAUUUACUGGGUGUAAAGGGAGCGCAGGCGGCACGGCAAGCCUGAUGUGAAAGCCCGCGGCCCAACCGCGGGACUGCAUUGGGAACUACCGGGCUGGAGUGCCAGAGAGGUAGGCGGAAUUCCUAGUGUAGCGGUGAAAUGCGUAGAUAUUAGGAGGAACACCAGUGGCGAAGACGGCCUACUGGACGGUGACUGACGCUGAGGCUCGAAAGCGUGGGGAGCAAACAGGAUUAGAUACCCGUGUAUA